rnacentral:rRNA from 1 species
GUUAGGAAUAUUGGACAAUGGGCGCAAGCCUGAUCCAGCCAUGCCGCGUGAGUGAUGAAGGCCUUCGGGUUGUAAAGCUCUUUAGCCGAUGAUUAUAAUGACUGUAGUCGGAAAAUAAGCCCCGGCUAACUUCGUGCCAGCAGCCGCGUUAAUACGAAGGGGGCGAGCGUUAUUCGGAAUCACUGGGCGUAAAGCGUGCGUAGGCGGCUUUGCAAGUUGGGAGUGAAAGCCCAGGGCUCAACCCUGGAAUUGCUCUCAAAACUGCAAGGCUCGAAUUCGGGAGAGGAUAGCGGAAUUGUCAGUGUAGCAGUGAAAUGCGUAGAUAUUGACAGGAACACCAGUGGCGUAAGCGGCUAUCUGGACCGAUAUUGACGCUGAGGCACGAAAGCGUGGGGAUCAAACAGGAUUAGAAACCCCGGUAGUCC